rnacentral:lncRNA from 10 species
GUGGCGGAGCGCGCUGCGAGGGGAGGGCUUUCCACUGUCGCUGGCGUGAACUCGCGUGCCCGGUGGGUAUCAGGGAAGAACCCCCGCCCCGGACCCCCAGAUCUGCCAUGGCCGAGGCUUCACCAGGUACUGCCUUCUAACGAGCUGGCCAUUUCCACAUGUCAGAUAGGACCAACUUGCCUUUUAACUACCCGUGUGAUACUUAAACACUGUUGCCGGUAUCACAGCUUUUCUUCAAAACAGGAAGCAACGAGAAUGAGGGCAUUCCAGUAGCAGGAGACAGCAUGCAUAGAGAUGCUGAUGAAGAAAGAGCCUAGCGCACGUGGGAAACUGCAAAAGUUCAGACUGGUUGGAAUGCUGGAAAUGUUGUGAAUGACAGGAGAUGAGGCUGGCGAGAAAACAGAGGUCAGAUUGUGGAAGGCUGUCAAGCCAAAGACUUUGAUUUUAUUCUUGAGAUUGAUGAGAUGUGUGUAAUCCAGGAGUGUGCAAAACAAUCUGUAAGGGUUCAGAAAACAUACUGCUUCUAUAUAUAGUUACCUUUGUCUUAACUUGAAAAUUUCAAAUUGUGUAGGAGUUACAAUGUGUGUAAUUGUUAUUAUAGUACUGGAUCCAAAUAAUUUAUAAAUAAAUAAAUAUAGACA